UGGAGACCGGGGGAUGGGUGAGUAACGCGUAUGCAACCUGCCUGGAGGACGGGGAUAACAUCGAGAAAUCGGUGCUAAUACCCGAUGAUGCAGCGGCCCCGCAUGGGGACAGUCGUUAAAGGUUUUCUAGCGCCUUCAGAUGGGCCUGCGUGUCAUUAGCUGGUUGGUGAGGUAACGGCUCACCAAGGCGAUGAUGACUAGGGGGUCUGAGAGGAUGAUCCCCCACACUGGGACUGAGACACGGCCCAGACUCCUACGGGAGGCAGCAGUGAGGAAUCUUGCGCAAUGGGGGCAACCCUGACGCAGCCACGCCGCGUGCCGGAAGUCGGCCCCAUGGGUUGUAAACGGCUUUUACCAGGGAAGAACCCGGGGGAUUCGUCCCCCGCUGACGGUACCUGGAGAAUAAGCACCGGCUAACUCCGUGCCAGCAGCCGCGGUAAUACGGAGGGUGCAAGCGUUGUCCGGAAUCAUUGGGUGUAAAGGGUGCAUAGGCGGAAGCCUAAGUCGGGGGUGAAAUCCUGCCGCUCAACGGCAGAAUGGCCUUCGAUACUGGGUUUCUUGAGUCCGGAAGAGGUUGGUGGAAUUCGUGGUGUAGCGGUGAAAUGCAUAGAUAUCACGAAGAACACCGGUGGCGAAGGCGGCCAACUGGCCCGGCACUGACGCUGAGGCACGAGGGCGUGGGGGAGCGAACAGGAUUAGAUACCCUGGUAGUCCACGCUGUAAACGAUGUAUGCUAGUUGUUGGCCCUUCGGGGUCAGU
rnacentral:rRNA from 1 species